rnacentral:ncRNA from 1 species
CGGCUGAGUUAGUGAUCGGCCGAGGGCGUAUAUCAACUCAACAAUUACAGAGGUUUUACAAUGUCACUAAGCACCGAAGCCAAGGCUCAGAUCGUAGCCGAAUAUGCACGUU